UCGCCUCUGAGCUGAAUUGAUGAUCC
rnacentral:piRNA from 1 species